UACAGAGGUCUCAAGCGUUGUUCGGAUUCAUUGGGCGUAAAGGGUGUGUAGGUGGCGCGCUAAGUCGGGUGUGAAAUUUCGGAGCUUAACUCCGAAACUGCAUUCGAUACUGGCGUGCUUGAGGACUGGAGAGGAGACUGGAAUUUACGGUGUAGCAGUGAAAUGCGUAGAUAUCGUAAGGAAGACCAGUGGCGAAGGCGGGCCUCUGGACAGUUCCUGACACUGAGACACGAAGGCCAGGGGAGCAAACGGG
rnacentral:rRNA from 1 species